rnacentral:rRNA from 1 species
UUCUCAGUUCGGACUGCAGUCUGCAACUCGACUGCACGAAGCUGGAAUCGCUAGUAAUCGCGGAUCAGCACGCCGCGGUGAAUACGUUCCCGGGCCUUGUACACACCGCCCGUCACACCAUGGAAGUCUGCAAUGCCCGAAGCCGGUGGCCUAACCACUUAUGUGGAAGGAGCCGUCUAAGGCAGGGCAGAUGACUGGGGUGAAGUCGUAACAAGGUAAC